UCCAUCCUCUCCUCUCCCUCAACACCAAACCGCCCUCGCCGCCGAUCUCCACUCCCCCAAACUCAGCCCCAGCCCCGCCGGCGACCUCCUCCCCCACUCCUCGACUUCCCUGGCAACAUCCUCUACUUCAUACCCGCCGGCGACCUCCGCCUUCCACUCCACCCUCUCCUUCUCUCCACGCCGAAACCCUAGAUGAACGCCAUGGCCACCUCCCUCUAGCGUCCCCUCUCUCUCCCGUGGCGGCAAUCACCACUUCAACACCGUCGGCGACCACAACCAUGGCCUCCACCUCCCCUUCCCUCCUUGGUUGGAGAUCCACUCAAUUCCUCUCCCUCCCCCAGUUCCUCUCCAAUCCCGCCACUGGCCGACUACCAACCCCACCGGCGACCUCCCUCCCUCCCUCCUGAGAUGUACAGAUGUGGCGAGACGGAUCGCCGGAUCCCCGCCGCGGCGGAACGGUGAGAUCCAGCUCCUUGCCGAUCCCAUGGCCUCCGCGGCGGCGCGAGUCCUCCUCCUUGUUCGCGCGGUCGCCUCCUUCCUCGCGGGGCGCACAGACGCCCUUCGGUCGCUGGGCGUCGGCGACGAGGCGGGGGCCGGGGCCGCCACGCAGGGGGACGACGCCGUGGACCUCAACCCCACCAGCUUGGACGCCUUCCUCACGGCCUCGCGGGAGCAGUUCGCCUUCAUCAAGUUCUUCGCCCACUGGUAAUAGAGGCUGACCAGGUACUCCAUCGACAUCUCUAGCUCCCACAUGUCGCCCUGGGCUGUAGCGCCCUCUCGUGGGCGAUCGGCAUCCUCCUGGUGGCCCCGCUCCAAUUAGUAUAGUGCUGCUAUAGUGUCGAGACAGCAUGCUAUUCAAAACUAUGAUAAUAUGUCAUGCACUGUAUCCUAAAUUUAUAUCUCCACAAUCAUGUGAAAAUAAAUAAACAUUGCUAUCUAUUUAAAAGUUAAUUCUGUUGGGCAGGGAGGAGCAAUGCUUGCAGCUAGGUAUCAAUUUCAUACUUGUCAGUAAAGCUGCUGCCACUUGUAAGGCACAUGCAUGCUGGGUGUCUUGCCGCAGUUGCAGCCAUGCUAAUCUUUUCCUAUCAGAGGACAAGGGCUUCAUGGCCAAUCAAGGCGCAUGGUGCUCGCAAGCGAUGAAAGGAGGUUGUUCGACAUAGGCACGGAGGAGGAGGAUGGGCACGGACGGAGGAGGACAGAGCACCUCUCUUCUUCCAGGUUCUUCUCCUUACCUUCACUUCUUGUAUGUGCCUGUGCUGCAGCUCACCCAUGGUCUUGUUUGUCCUGCAGGUUAGUGAGCAGCAUCAGGAGGAGGAGCUCAAGCACGACCACCAAGAGGCACCACCGCAG